GAUGAACGCUGGCGGCGUGCCUAAUACAUGCAAGUCGAGCGAACGGACGAGAAGCUUGCUUCUCUGAUGUUAGCGGCGGACGGGUGAGUAACACGUGGAUAACCUACCUAUAAGACUGGGAUAACUUCGGGAAACCGGAGCUAAUACCGGAUGAUAUUUUGAACCGCAUGGUUCAAAAGUGAAAGACGGUCUUGCUGUCACUUAUAGAUGGAUCCGCGCUGCAUUAGCUAGUUGGUAAGGUAACGGCUUACCAAGGCAACGAUGCAUAGCCGACCUGAGAGGGUGAUCGGCCACACUGGAACUGAGACACGGUCCAGACUCCUACGGGAGGCAGCAGUAGGGAAUCUUCCGCAAUGGGCGAAAGCCUGACGGAGCAACGCCGCGUGAGUGAUGAAGGUCUCCGGAUCGUAAAACUCUGUUAUUAGGGAAGAACAUAUGUGUAAGUAACUGUGCACAUCUUGACGGUACCUAAUCAGAAAGCCACGGCUAACUACGUG
rnacentral:rRNA from 1 species